AGCGAACGCUGGCGGCAGGCCUAACACAUGCAAGUCGAACGAACUCUUCGGAGUUAGUGGCGGACGGGUGAGUAACACGUGGGAACGUGCCUUUUGGUUCGGAAUAACUCAGGGAAACUUGUGCUAAUACCGAAUGUGCCCUUCGGGGGAAAGAUUUAUCGCCAUUAGAGCGGCCCGCGUCUGAUUAGCUAGUUGGUGAGGUAACGGCUCACCAAGGCGACGAUCAGUAGCUGGUCUGAGAGGAUGACCAGCCACACUGGGACUGAGACCCGGCCCAGACUCCUACGGGAGGCAGCAGUGGGGAAUCUUGCGCAAUGGGCGAAAGCCUGACGCAGCCAUGCCGCGUGAAUGAUGAAGGUCUUAGGAUUGUAAAAUUCUUUCACCGGGGACGAUAAUGACGGUACCCGGAGAAGAAGCCCCGGCUAACUUCGUG
rnacentral:rRNA from 1 species